GGCCCGGCCGCGCGGGCCCUGGGACGGGCGGCGAGGCGAAGGAGGGCCGGGCCCAGUACCCGCCGCCGGCCACGGGUCCCGCUCCGGGGAUGGCGGAAAGGGCAGAGACAGUGCAAGUGCUUAAAAAAAAGGUUAUAGCGUGUCCUGUGGGAACCGAAGAGUUUAAUAACUUAAAAAGAACAGACUCGAAGUUUGUAAGGCCAGAAGAGAAUAUUCACAUGACACCAAUUUUAGAUGGCAUGUGUGAGAGGCUUAUCUUCCCAGACAUCUCCAAAGGGAGGACAGAGGGCUGUAGGAAGGCUCCUGGACAGGAUCUCCUUUGGUGUGGAGGCAGUGCAGAAGACCCGCUUACAUCGAAUUCAUGGCAGGGGGCAGUGUGAAUGCCUUCCACUGGGAUAAUCUACUUCCUUCUCUUUCAUAACACUGCUAAUAGGAUGUCCUUGGAAUAUUUAUGGUUUGGAGUGGAACAUAUCUUUAACAAGGACAUGUGGUCCAAUUGAAAAAAUAAGGCAAUUUCCAGAGUCUCUAAAAUAAACAGGAGAUUCAUCACA
rnacentral:lncRNA from 1 species